UUGAACUUCCAGCAACCAAACCUAGGGUUCCGGCGAAAGACCUGAUUUUCUGGUCUGUGAACGGCGGCAUCUAAAACCAUAAGGUGUUUGGAAUGGAAGUUGGAACACAAUGGAUUUUGUGGGAAUUUAGUUAAAUAGGAAACCAGUGAGAUUGCUGUCACAACAUAAACAGGAACAACCUGAUACACAAUGUAAGUUUCUGAACAACAAGAUUUAUAAACCAAGGAAUGAUCAUAAACUUACACUACUAGAAGAAAAUAAUAUUUACUACCCCAAUUUCGGUAUUGUUGUCUCUUUUUUGGGACAAGGUUGCUACUAGAAUUGCGGGAAAAAAAUGUUGGUUGCAAACCAAAUUUGCGAUCGAUUUGCAACCGGGAAGUAUUUUGCCACUAAUAUUUUGGUCUCAAAUCCUGCGAUCGCAUUAUCAACCACUUUUAGUGACUGGUUUAUGACAACUUUUUUAUGAUUGCAUAUUAAUGAUCCAUUUGUGGUUGUUUCUUAAGUGACGAUUUAUGUCCUAUAUUUGUUUUCUUCAUUUUCUUGACCAUUUUGCUAUUGACGUUAUUGUUAUAUAUAUUAAAAAGUAUGGCUUGUGAAUACAAUCAUCACGCAACACUUGACGCGUGUUCUUUUUAUUUUUUAUACUUUUCUUUAUCUUUAUUUUUCUAUGUUUUGUAUAUUACACCACCGUACAUCACUUGACACAUGUCCUGUAUUUUUCUUUUGUUUAACUUGUAAUAUUUUUAACGUUUCUCUUUCUUUUUUAUAUUUUAUGCAGUUAUAGCACAAUACACUGUUGCAAGUUACUUAUUUUUAGCUACGCAUUUAUACAAAUAUUUUUCUAAAUCGAGUAGAGUCAAAUAUGGCAUUUUUUUUACUUUUUUUUAUAUAAAACACACUUUUGAGAUUCACUUAUUUUUAUCUUUUUAAUUUAAUAUAUUAUUUAUAGUUUAAGUUUAUUACUGUUGCGAUGUGUUGAUUUUUAUCCAUGUUCCAAUACAAGUCUGAGUCUAAACCGAUCGCGGACAUAACCUGCUAGCAUCAUCAUAAAUGAACUUUUAAAUCUUAAUUAUAAGGGGACCUUUAUUGAGUUUCGAAGUGGGAUGAUUAACGUUUCACCAAUCGGGCGAAACUGCAGCCAAGAAGAAAGAGAUGAAUUUGAGAGAUAUGAUAAGGUAGUUCUUUAUAAACCCUAAAGAGUGGGGGAUUUAGAGUUUGCAUUUGAACCUCCAAGUGAUGAGGAAAUCGAUUAUGACGAUGUUAGCAGCGGUGGAGAAG
rnacentral:lncRNA from 1 species